rnacentral:rRNA from 1 species
AGUGAACGCUGGCGGUAGGCCUAACACAUGCAAGUCGAACGGCAGCACAGUAAGAGCUUGCUCUUACGGGUGGCGAGUGGCGGACGGGUGAGGAAUACAUCGGAAUCUACUUUUUCGUGGGGGAUAACGUAGGGAAACUUACGCUAAUACCGCAUACGACCUACGGGUGAAAGCAGGGGAUCUUCGGACCUUGCGCGAUUGAAUGAGCCGAUGUCGGAUUAGCUAGUUGGCGGGGUAAAGGCCCACCAGGGCGACGAUCCGUAGCUGGUCUGAGAGGAUGAUAAGCCACACUGGAACUGAGACACGGUCCAUACUCCUACGGGAGGCAGCAGUGGGGAAUAUUGGACAAUGGGCGCAAGCCUGAUCCAGCCAUACCGCGUGGGUGAAGAAGGCCUUCGGGUUGUAAAGCCCUUUUGUUGGGAAAGAAAAGCAGCAGGUUAAUACCCCGCUGUUCUGACGGUACCCAAAGAAUAAGCACCGGCUAACUUCGUG